UACGGAAGGGGCAAGCGUUGUUCGGAUUCAUUGGGCGUAAAGGGCGCGUAGGCGGCGAGGCAAGUCGGGUGUGAAAUCUCAGAGCUCAACUCUGAAACUGCACUCGAUACUGCUUUGCUUGAGGACUGGAGAGGAGAUUGGAAUUCACGGUGUAGCAGUGAAAUGCGUAGAUAUCGUGAGGAAGACCAGUGGCGAAGGCGGAUCUCUGGACAGUUCCGUGACGCUGAGGCGCGAAGGCCAGGGGGAGCAAAACGGGG
rnacentral:rRNA from 1 species